GUAAAAAAAAAAAAAAAAAACACUUGAGGUUUGGUGUACCAAGUUCCUCUCGUUUUCAAAUAUUUGCACAAUUAAUCAUUGAGUUUCAUGGAAGUCAGUGUUUGGUUAAAAUAGGCCAAAAUGAAUUUUCUUUUGCUUUGGUUAGACAAAAGAACAACAAAAAUGUUGAAAAUAAUUUCUUAUUUUAAUUGCAAUUUUCUUUUCUCAUGUGAAGUGAAAUUCAUAUACUUGUCAAGCAUAUUUU
rnacentral:misc_RNA from 1 species